CAAGAAAUAGCAACAACAACAAAAAGACAAAAAAAGAAAAAAAAAAAGAAAACAAGGACACAGUUCCUCACCCCCACGGUCCACACGGACCAGGACUGGCUAUGUCUGCCUUGGGCCCAGAACCAUCCAGGUGUCAGGAACACCCUGCCAUCUCCCCAUCUGUGGCUGUCAGGCAUCAGGAUGGAGACUCGCUGGGUAAACCAGAGGGGUCCUAGGAGGGAAAUUGGCCAUGUGGCCAUCUGCCCUGUGCUGGGGAAGUGCCCGCAGGAAAAUGAGGACCUCCCCCCUUUUGGCAGGGUUCUGCCAAGUCCAGGAAUGGAAAGAAGGGUUCAUCACUCCUUUCACUCCUCAUGUUUCAUGUGUCACCAGAUCCUGCUGAGGGGACCACAUGGACCUAGGUACAUCCCCACCUCCACCACCCUGACCCAACCACCAUUGCCUCCGGCCUUGGAAGUUCAAGUGCAUGCAACCUGAUCCUUCUAAAUACAUUGGAAGGGGCAGUCUGCAUCAUUGCCAUCAUGAUUUCUUGAACACCUACUUUGUGCACAAGCCAUAUCCUGGGAGGAUGGAGACCCUAAAAGGCACCCAGGCUGCAAGGCCCAAGUUGUGCAUCAUCGAUACAAUCAUCUCUGCUACGCACUGCGAGCCCACUGUGUGCCUGCCCUGCCUGCUCGUCACUCUGACCCUCACAGCAACUGUACAGGCAUUCCAGAAAGGGAAGCCGGUGGUACAAGUUGAAGACAGCAGAGAAGGACUUUCCAGAGAGGGGAAUUUAGGAUUGGUUUUUGGAGAAUGCACCAACAGGGUAAGGAAAACUUGUGAGGUGAGAGGAAUUCAACCUAGUCCAAUAAAUAAACUAGUGGCUGGCACACUGUUUCCACACCCCCACCCCCUGUUGAGUGAAUCCCAUUUGAGAUGCUUGUCCAUCAUCUGUGGGUGGAGGGCAAAGUGAAGCCAGAAAUGGAGUGAGGAGCCCCCUUGAUAACCAUGAACAAUGAGACUGGAGGUGCAAGAAAAGGUUCUGCCCUGGCUUUCUCUCCUCCUCUCUCCCUCCUGCAGCUGGCAAGUGGUACUUGGCCCUGCAGUGAGU